CAGCUUGUUGGUGGGGUAACGGCCUACCAAGGCUCCGAUCGGUAGCUGGUCUGAGAGGAUGAUCAGCCACACUGGGACUGAGACACGGCCCAGACUCCUACGGGAGGCAGCAGUGGGGAAUAUUGGACAAUGGGCGAAAGCCUGAUCCAGCAAUGCCGCGUGUGUGAAGAAGGUCUUCGGAUUGUAAAGCACUUUCAACGGGGACGAUGAUGACGGUACCCGUAGAAGAAGCCCCGGCUAACUUCGUGCCAGCAGCCGCGGUAAUACGAAGGGGGCUAGCGUUGCUCGGAUUGACUGGGCGUAAAGGGCGCGUAGGCGGCUUGUACAGUCAGACGUGAAAUUCCUGGGCUCAACCUGGGGGCUGCGUUUGGAUACGUGCGGGCUUGAGUUCGGAAGAGUGUCGUGGAAUUCCCAGUGG
rnacentral:rRNA from 1 species